CGACCUCACCCUUMUCAGGUGGUUAGAGCGCACCCCUGAUAAGGGUGAGGUCGGUGGUUCAAGUCCACUCAGGCCUACCA
rnacentral:tRNA from 1 species